ensembl:lncRNA
CGUGCGCGUGGUCUUCCAGAGCCCUCGCAGAAAACCUCAAGGCUUUUGCCCCGUUGUGCUCACAGCCCACAGCAGGGAGCGUUCACCCCAGCAGAGCCGGUCCCAGCCAGAUCCUGACUGGCGGAGGGAAUCCUCCAGUGCGCUGUCCUGCUAGAAGGCACGCGUGUGUGGAAAGGCCUCUGGGCCGAGGGCAACUCUCUGCUCAUUGCAUGAGGGUUUUACCAGGGAGAAGUGUUGGGGAGAACGGAGGAGCCCAAGGUCAAGGGCACGGGCAUCUGCAGUCACCCUCGGAGUGGAGUCCGGACGCCCCUGACCCUUCCUCCAGCAGGAGGUGAGUCUCACACUGCCUGCUGCAGAAGGGAUCGCCAGGACCUUCCUGCUCUGUGACACGGGGUGGCAGUAGAGGCCCGGGAACUGCUCCUGGCUAGAGCAGCCAUGGGAAGCCGGCACUUCUCGUGUCUCUUCUAGUCCAGAGGGAACAGGCCGGCUUGUGCUGGAUUUUGAGGAGACGCCUUAUGGUUUCACGAAGCAGUUGGAGGGGACACGGCUCAGGGUUUUCACUGGGAUUGGUUUAAAAGUGCAUUACGGGAUACUCUUCUGUUUGGAGAUUUGAGAGGAGUCAUGACUAACAAAGGCCUGGCAGGAACAAAGACUGGUGUGUCCUGAUCCCAGCCUGUGAUGGUUCACAAGCCCAUCUCUCUCUUCUUGAUUGUUUAGCCUUGGCCCUUGCAGGUCUGCUGUGCCUCUCCUGAGACUGGGCAUGCAGAGGUUCCUAGGGCUCUCCACCACUCACCCUGGUCUCCUUCCGACUGAGCCAAGGUGUGCAGGGUGGCCCUUGCCCACAUGACAAAGUGGGUGGAAGGGACACCCUAGCUUCCUUUCUCAGGGUACCUUCCAGCACACAAUGGGAGGCAGCCAUGUGCAAGCCAGGAAGAAAACCCUCACCAGAAACCAACCCGGUGAUGCUUUGAUCUUGGACUUUCAGCCUCCAGAACUGUGUGUCUGUUGUUAGGCAACCUUUAUUUAGUCAUGGUGACUUCCUAUUUCCCCAGCUCAGAAUCAGGCACAUCAUUGUAGUGGUGGGGCAACCUUGCUGAACUCAGUUUGUCUUCUAGGCACAUACCCUCCAAAACUCCCUUAGCAUUCUAAAGGCCAUCCUUUGGAACACUGGUCAUGCUCACAAACACUUCUGGAUUCUUCUUAUUUUUCCUCAAACUGCAUUCUCUUGUAGAUGGCAGAUGGCAAUCCUGGGAAUGGACCUACAGACUUGUGCAUCUCAGUUCAUGUGCAGGAUUAGUAGUGAUUUAUGACUUAUUUAUUACUUACAAGGGGCAUCACAGGCUGGGUCUUCUCUGUAGCCCCUACAGAGGCCUCACUCAGCAGAUCUCCACACGUUACGCGCAAAGUCCUAACCGUAGUGGCUUUUGGCUGUUCUUCAAAGCACUCACAUAUAGCAGCACAUGGUUGUGCAUCUAGAAAUUUUCAAAUCAUCCCUUCCUAGAUAGGAACAGGAAGGCACCAGCGACACAGGGGUCUAGCCAGUGGCAUGCUGUGUUCUUACUGAACCUGUUUAAAAAGGUAAUUAUCUCUAGAAAUAACUGUAUUCAUUACCAGAUUUUAAAAUGUACAGCUUACCCCCUCUAGCCAUGGGACUCUUAAAUCUGUGUUUUGAUUUGUGAAAAAUGAUCUCAAAUAAAUAUUGU